rnacentral:rRNA from 1 species
AUACGGAGGACGCGAGCGUUAUCCGGAUUCAUUGGGUUUAAAGGGUGCGCAGGCGGCCGUGCAAGUCAGCGGUGAAAGCCCGGGGCUCAACCCCGGAAGUGCCGUUGAUACUGCAUGGCUGGAAUGCGGUCGAGGCGGGCGGAACGUGGGGUGUAGCGGUGGAAUGCGUAGAUAUGCCACAGAACGCCGAUAACGGGGGCAGCUCGCCAGGCCUGCAUUGACGCUCGGGCACGAAAGCGUGGGGAUCGAACAGGAUUAGAUACCCUGGUAGUCCACGCCGUAAACGAUGGGCGCUCGUCGUCGGCGGCAGACAGUCGGCGGCCAAGCGAAAGCGAUAAGCGCCCCACCUGGGGAGUACGGUCGCAAGGCUGAAACUCAAAUGAAUUGACGGGG